UCCAGCGAGUGAUGCUGAAACAUUUGACAGACGUCCCGGAACCGCACGGUUAUCUCGGAGCAGGAGACGGACAAGUGGAGAUUCCCACUUCAGCGCGACCCGCCUGUGUUGCCUCCAGGCACUAAUUUAGUAAAUAAGUUAAAAUGUUAAUAGUGGUGAAUUUGAAUGUUUAAAACGUUAAAAAAAAAAAAAGAAAGUAAGUAAAUUGACCGAAAAUAACAACUUCCGGUUUUUCCGCGCAACUUCCGGUUGGCGGGCAACUUCCGGGUUCCGGCCUCAUGUAAUCAGAUCCGACGAAGCCCAGCAUGAGGUCAGAGAUAUCUGUCGCCAUCCACACCGAAGCUCAGGCAAGGCAAUGCCGUAAGUUCAUAUUGUUGUUUAUUUACACUCAGGGAAACAUAUUUUUGUAUUAUUUGUAUGGUACGCUUAGUUUAAAGCGUAGAUAAAAUAUUUAUUUUUGUGUUAUUUAUACAUCAUUUUUAGAGAGAAUCGUGUACAUUUGUUUUCAGUUUUCACCAUCUGGAGAAGAAAUUAAAAGCUCAAAAACGUCCCUAGUGGUCCUGGUCUUCUUCAGUGGUUUAUCUGCGUGUUCAAGUGGGAACAUAACAGUGAAAAGGCAGCAUUCAGAGCUUCAUCGUGGUCAAGAUGGCAGCCAGCAACAGAUCUACAACAAAUGCAUCGGGGGUCACGUCUUCCUCUGCGACAAGCGCAGCUCGUGCUCGAGCCAGAGCAGAAGCAGCUAAGGUGAGAGCGUCAUAUGCAAGCAAGGAAGCACAGCUGAAAGUGGAAAAAUUAAAAAUCGAUGCAGAAUUGGAAGUGCUAACAUUACAAAGAGAGGCAGACGCCGCAGUAGCUGAAGCAGAAGCGCUAGAAGAAGCGGAGGCAAUGCUUGAUGGAAACCAGAGCAGAAGAUCAGUCAGUUAAAAGAGAAAGAACAAGAGAAUAUGUGCAAUCACAAAUGAAAGUGAGCAAACCUAAUGACUCAGCACCAGUACCAGACACACAAAAUCAAAAUGUUGAUUUAGAGGGCUCAUUCAUAACUUGGAGUCCUCCUAAAAACAACGCUGCAGACACAGAGCCACAGCCCAUCAGCGCCAGGCAAAGGAUCAACAACCACCAUAAAACUUUGCCUAUCCAGAAUACAUCAUCCCUUCACAACCAGAAUACAUCAUCCCUUCACAAAGUUGAGAGUGAACCAAAAGUUCAACCAGCAUACAACGCUCUGAAUCCAUUCUCAAGCCCUUUCAGGUCUCAAUAUAACACACCUGCAGGCGUGCCACAUCCAGCUGAACCAUUUGCACAAUACAUGGCACGUCGUGACCUCAUCAUUUCCGGUCUUUACCAAUAUGACGACAAGCCAGAGAAUUUCAGAGCAUGGUACUCCUCAUUUACGGGUGCUACAGCCGAAGUUCACCUCACUCCCACUCAAGAGCUCGAUUUGAUGACAAAAUGGUUGGGAAAAGAGUCAAACUGUCAAGUCAAGCGCAUCCGCUCUGUUUAUGUCAACAACCCCACUAUGGCUCUACAGAAAGCGUGGGAGCGACUUCAUGAGUGUUAUGCAGCCCCUGAAAUAAUUGAAAAAUCACUAUUUCAGAGGUUAGACAGUUUUCCCAAAAUAACAACAAAAGAUAACAUGAAACUGAGAGAACUAGGAGAUCUGUUACAGGAGAUCCAAGGAGCAAAAGAGGAUGGAUAUCUACCUGGUCUUUUCUAUCUGGACACAUCUCGUGGAAUAGGACCAAUUGUGGACAAACUUCCAUACGGAAUUCAAGAGAAAUGGAUGUCACAAGGUUCACAAUAUAAAGAAGAGAAUGAAGGCUGUUUUCCACCUUUUAGUUAUUUCUGUAAGUUUAUAUGCAAAGAAGCUAAAAAACGCAACGAUCCAAGUUUCAACCAGCCGAACACACAAACAUAUACAAAAUCAGAAAGACCAAACCUAAAGAAUUUCAGCUCUGCUAAACCCAUAUCGGUGUACAAAUCAAACGUCACAUCUCCUAAUAAGGACAUUAACAAGAACUGCCCUCUGCACAACAAACCCCACCCACUCAAGAAAUGCAGGACGUUCAGGAACAAACUGCUCGACGAAAGAAAGGCCUUUCUUAAAGAGAAAGGAAUCUGUUUCAAGUGCUGCGCUUCAGACACUCAUCUUGCUAAGGACUGUAGAACUACAGUAAAGUGCUCUGAAUGUGAAAGUACAAGGCAUGAAACCAUCAUGCAUCCUGGACCUCCACAGCAAGCCUUCCGGGCUCCUGCCCCUGCUCAAGAGGAUGGCGGGGAGGAAGAAAGCUGCUCGGACAGUGUUGCAGUAACUGCAACAUGCACCAAAGUGUGCGGUCCAGGUCAGUGGGGUCGUUCUUGUUCUAAAAUAUGUCUCGCGAAGGUGUAUCCCGAAGGUCAUAGAGACAGUGCAGUUAAAACUUACGUCAUACUUGAUGACCAGAGUAAUCGUUCCUUAGCUGGCCCAGAGUUCUUUGAACUUUUCAACAUUAAGAACGAACCAGUCAAUUACAAUCUAAGGACAUGCACUGGGAUUGUAGAAACAUGGGGAAAAAUGGCUGAAGGCUUCCAGCUUGAGUCUUUAGAUGGGUCAGUGGUAAUCCCACUCCCUCCUCUUAUCGAAUGUCAGGACAUUCCUAACAAUAGGAGUGAGAUCCCAACACCAAGCGCUGUGAUGCACCAGCCGCACCUGCAGCCAAUUGGAAAGUACAUUCCAGAGCUAGACCCAAACGCACAAAUACUCUUACUGCUAGGGCGAGAUGUUUUACGUGCACACAAAGUCAGGGAACAGGUUAACGGCCCUCAUCAUGCGCCCUUUGCACAACGCCUAGAUUUAGGCUGGGUUGUAGUGGGAGAGGUGUGUGUAGGUAACAUCCACAUGCCUGCAGUCAACUCAUACAAGACAGUUAUUCUAGAAAACGGUCGUCCCACAGUUUUUGCACAGUGUGAUAAUUUCCGACAUCUUAAGGAAACACCCUGCACUAACUCGCUUAGCAAAGCACCAGAGCAAACUCUGGGACAGUCAGUUUUCCACACCAGCGAGAACGACAACAAGCUGGCUCCCUCCAUAGAGGACAAAGUCUUCUUAGACAUCAUGGAGAAAGACAUGUACCGAGAUGAAGAGAAUAGUUGGGUUGCCCCACUUCCCUUUAAAGAGCCUCGCCAGAAAAUGCCGAACAACAGAGAACUAGCAGUCAGACGUUUUUUGUCCCUCAAAAGAAGCAUGCAAAGAAAACCACAAAUGCAGCUAGAUUACGUGGAGUUUAUGGAAGGUAUUUUCUCCAAUGGUCAUGCUGAGGUGGCACCAGAACUUAAGCAAGGAGAAGAACGCUGGUAUCUCCCAACAUUUGGGGUUUAUCACCCUCAAAAGCCCAACAAGAUCAGGGUGGUUUUCGAUUCAAGUGCCCAGGAAAACGGUGUCUCACUCAACAGUGUACUCCUCACUGGCCCUGACUUAAACAACACGCUUAUAGGAGUUCUUCUCCGAUUUCGAAAAGAAAGCAUUGCUAUAAUGGCUGACAUACAGCAAAUGUUUCACUGUUUCGUAGUGCGUGAGGAUCAUCGAAACUAUCUCCGCUUUCUGUGGCACAGGGACAACGACAUUGAAAAAGAGGUGAUUGACUUCCGAAUGAAAGUCCAUGUAUUCGGCAAUUCACCAUCUCCUGCUGUAGCGGUCUAUGGACUGCGCAAGGCCAUCAAAGCCGGAGCAAAAGACUAUGGGGCUGAUACAGUCAACUUUGUGGAGAGGCAUUUCUACGUUGAUGACGGCUUGAUUUCUGUGCCUACUCCAGCUGAAGCAAUUGAUUUGUUGCAAAGAACUCAAGCUUCACUUGCCGAGUCCAAUCUACGUCUGCAUAAGUUUGUUUCUAACUCACCAGCAGUUAUGCAAGCCUUCUCCCCAGAUGACUGUGCAGUGGUUCUUAAAGAUCUGGAUCUAAGUGGUGAAGAAACACAAUCGCAGCGCAGUCUAGGCCUCAUUUGGGAAACUGUGACAGACACGUUCACGUUUUCUGUGACCACAACAAGCAAGCCAUUUACGCGGCGUGGUGUCUUGUCAUCUGUCAAUAGCAUCUUCGAUCCAUUAGGACUGUUGGCACCGGUUACCAUUCAAGGAAGGGCUCUACUAAGAGAACUCACAGUGGAGAACUCAGGCUGGGACACGCCACUUCCAGAAGAUAAACGGAGCAAAUGGGAAGCUUGGAGAGACUCUCUGAAAGACUUAAAGGAACUACAUGUCCCAAGAACGUACACCUCUACAUCUCUGAGUCAAGCAAUACACAAAGAACUAUGUUUGUUUUCGGAUGCAUCAACCAAAGCCAUAGGUGCCGUAGCCUACUUGAAAGCAGUUUACCUAAAUGACAAAGUGGAGGUCGGGUUUGUCAUGGGUAAAGCAAGACUAACUCCUCAGUCAGAACCAACAAUACCAAGACUUGAGCUGUGUGCUGCUGUUUUAGCUGUGGAGAUGGCUGAUCUCAUCAAGACUGAGCUGGACAUACAGUUCGACAAGGUUAAUUUUUACACAGACAGUAAGGUAGUCUUGGGCUACAUCUACAACGAAUCCAAGAGAUUCUACACAUAUGUCCACAACAGAGUGCAGCGCAUUCGUCAGUCCUCAAAGCCGGAACAGUGGCACUACGUGCGCACAGAAGAAAACCCAGCGGAUCAUGCAUCCCGCUCGCUCACAGCAUUCCAGUUACCGAAAACAACUUGGUUCACUGGACCCUGCUUCAUCCAUCGUCCACUCACAGAGACAAAACACAAAAGCAAUGAGUUUAAAUUAAUUGAGCCAGACAGAGACUGUGAAAUCAGGCCACAAGUGAAAACCUGCGCCACCAACCUUCAAGUAGUCUCCUCCAAACGCUUUGAACGCUUCUCUACAUUCAAGUCCUUAGUCCGUGGAGUUGCCUUUCUCAUUCAUAUUGCAAAAUCCUUCAAUGGAACCAACUCAAACUGUGAAAGCAAGGGGUGGCACACAUGUCAGUUUCCUCGUUCACCAGAUGAAAUGGAUCAAGCAAAGCUUGUCAUUCUCAAACAAGCACAACAGGACGCCUUCGAAAAGGAGUUGUCUGCCCUCAAGGCUGGCAAGCCCGUUGCCAAACAAAGCCCUUUACAUAAACUCAGUCCAGUCCUAGGUGAUGGCAUAAUUUCAGUUGGAGGUCGACUCAAAUACUCAGAACUGGAAAAAUCUGAAAAAAGUCCAAUAGUCCUUCCAAAAGACCAUCAUGUGUCUCUCCUGCUUACUCGCCACUGUCAUGACAAGGUCAAGCACCAGGGUCGUCACCUCACAGAAGGUGCAAUAAGAGCAGCAGGGUUAUGGAUAUUGGGCGUAAAGAGGCUUGUCAAUUCUGUUAUCCACAAAUGUGUUAUCUGCCGCAAACUGCGUGGAAAAGAGGAACAGCAACUCAUGGCAGAUCUUCCUCCAGAACGACUCAAAACAUGUUCCCCCUUUAGCUAUGUUGGCCUUGAUGUUUUUGGGCCUUGGAUGGUAACUACCAGACGUACUAGAGGAGGGCAUGCACAAAGCAAGCGUUGGGCCAUCAUGUUUAGUUGCAUGAGUUCAAGAGCCGUGCAUAUUGAAGUGAUAGAGUCUCUUGAUACCAACAGUUGUGUAAAUGCCCUGAGGCGCUUCUUUGCUGUGAGAGGCCCUGCCACAAAACUCUUAUCCGAUCGUGGCACAAAUUUCAUCGGAGCAUCUAAGGAACUGGGUAUGGACAAGGCCGUGCAACAGUACCUUAAUGAUCAAGGUUGCACCUGGGACUUCAACCCACCUCAUGCUUCCCAUAUGGGAGGCUCAUGGGAACGGAUGAUCGGCAUCGCUCGGAGAAUCCUGGACGCAAUGCUGCUGCAGAGUAAGGUGCAACUUACUCAUGACGUGUUGUGUACACUAAUGGCUGAGGUCUCAGCAAUCAUAAAUGCUAGGCCACUCUUUCCAGUUCUUUCUGACCCAGACAACCCAUUCAUUCUCUCUCCCUCAAUGCUGCUAACUCAGAAAUCAUGCCUCUCACCUCCUCCUGGAGAUUUUCUGGACAAAGACCUUUACACCAAGCAAUGGAGACAAGUUCAAGCUCUUGCCAAUCAGUUUUGGUCUCGCUGGAAGCGAGAAUACCUGCCUUUACUACAACAGAGACACAAAUGGACUUUACCAUGUCGAAACCUACAAGUUGGUGACCUUGUCUUGCUCAAGGACAAACAAGUUCCACGCAACAGUUGGCCCAUGGCUAGAGUCAGUGCGACCUUUCCAGGCAAAGAUAGUCGAGUCAGGAAGAUUGAGGUUACAGUAAAUGACAAAAGCUGUAAAAAGACUUUUAUGCGACCAGUCACUGAGGUUGUUCUUCUUUUGCCAAAGGACUGAUUCUAGUUAAGUAUUGAGUUAAAUUGUGACCUCAUAGAGGCCAGGCGGGGAGUGUGUUGCCUCCAGGCACUAAUUUAGUAAAUAAGUUAAAAUGUUAAUAGUGGUGAAUUUGAAUGUUUAAAACGUUAAAAAAAAAAAAAAGAAAGUAAGUAAAUUGACCGAAAAUAACAACUUCCGGUUUUUUCCGCGCAACUUCCGGUUGGCGGGCAACUUCCGGGUUCCGGCCUCAUGUAAUCAGAUCCGACGAAGCCCAGCAUGAGGUCAGAGAUAUCUGUCGCCAUCCACACCGAAGCUCAGGCAAGGCAAUGCCUUUUCACCAUCUGGAGAAGAAAUUAAAAGCUCAAAAACGUCCCUAGUGGUCCUGGUCUUCUUCAGUGGUUUAUCUGCGUGUUCAAGUGGGAACAUAACA